CUUACAAAAACUUUACUUCCAUAUAGAUGUAGAUUUUCAACACUUGGUUUUCUCCCGAAGAAUAUUUCAAAAGGUGUCUUUCUCUCUAUAGUAUUUGCCAGUAUUCGAUUUUUCAAGUAUACCGCUGUACAAACUAUUUCCGGCCAGUACCUUUUAUGUACUUUCGCUUCCGCUAACAAGCAACGCGCCAUGUCCAUAACUGUUCUAUU
rnacentral:misc_RNA from 1 species